UUUAAAAAAAAAAAAAAAAAAGAGGCAAAAAUGUAGAGUUUUGGUAGUUCAUAACAUAGUAUAUUAGUAUGCUAAAAAGUAAUUCUAUUUUUUCUUGUUGUUUGAUAAAUUGAACUUAGAAAUUAAUAUUCUAAGUUGCUGGCUGGCUGGCUGACCACUAUAAAUAUAUAUUCAAACUAUAAAUAUUGGAGGCGGAGAUAAGACAAAGACAGACCAACAAUCUCUUCUUUGAUUACUAAUGACAAUAUAAGUAAAUAAAAGUGUUGGAUUAAUAAUUAGUAAAACAAGCAUGAUACCUGUGAAUAUUAAUUAUUAUUUACUCAUAAUAUUUUGCUUAUAUUUUUAAUAUAUAAUUGUUUAGAAAUAUAAUUAUUGUAAAUAAUAAGUCGU
rnacentral:lncRNA from 1 species